UGAAAAGAACCCCGGGAGGGGAGUGAAAGAGAACCUGAAACCGUGUGCUUACAAUCGGAGGGAGCGAAAGUGACCUCGUACUUUUUGUAGAACGGGCCAACGAGUUAUGGUGUGCGGCGAGGUUAAGGUACUGGAGUACCGGAGCCGAAGGGAAACCGAGUCUUAAUAGGGCGAAAGUCGUAUGCUGUAGACCCGAAACCGGGUGACCUAUCCAUGUGCAGGUUGAAGUGUCCGUAAAAGGACAUGGAGGACCGAACCCGUAUCUGUUGAAAAAGGUUGGGAUGACGUGUGGAUAGAGGUGAAAUUCCAAUCGAACCCGGAGAUAGCUGGUUCUCCCCGAAAUAGCUUUAGGGCUAGCCUCGUGAAAAGAUGCCUGGGGGUAGAGCACUGAAUGUUCUAGGGGCCUUCACCGGUUACCGAAAACUAUCAAACUCCGAAUACCAGAGCAUCAUGCACGGGAGUCAGACUAUGUGUGAUAAUAUUCAUAGUCGAAAGGGAAACAGCCCAGACCGCCGGCUAAGGUCCCAAAAUUCAGAUUAAGUGGAAAAGGAUGUGGGGUCGCAUAGACAGCUAGGAUGUUGGCUUAGAAGCAGCCAUACAUUCAAAGAGUGCGUAAUAGCUCACUAGUCGAGUGACCCUGCGCCGAAGAUGAACGGGGCUAAAAUCUGAUACCGAAGCCACGGAUACUAAAAGUAUGGUAGGGGAGCAUCGUGUGCAGGAAGAAGCAAAAUCGAAAGGUAAUGUGGACAGUACACGAGAGAGAAUGUUGGCAUGAGUAGCGUAAGGCAGGUGAGAAUCCUGUCCACCGAAAAUCCAAGGUUUCCUGAGGAAGGUUCGUCCACUCAGGGUAAGUCGGGGCCUAAGGUGAGGGCGAAAGCCAUAGCCGAUGGAUAACAGGUAGAGAUUCCUGUACCACCGAUAACUGCAAGAGCGAAGCGGGGACACGGAAGGAUAGACUAAGCGCACCGUUGGUAGAGUGCGUCCAAGCGUCAAGGUAGUAAUUAUAGGGAAGACCGUAGUUAUGGAUCUGAGGCGUUAAGGGGUGGCGAAAGAGCCGGAAGUAGUUGAUUUCACGCCGUCAAGAAAAGCCGCUAGUGAGGUUAAAGGUGCCCGUACCGUAAACCGACACAGGUAGAUGAGGAGAGAAUCCUAAGGUGAGCGAGAGAACCAUUGUCAAGGAACUCGGCAAAAUGACCCCGUAACUUAGGGAGAAGGGGAGCCGGCGCGAGCCGGUCGCAGUGAAAAGGCCCAGGCAACUGUUUACCAAAAACACAGGUCUCUGCGAAAGCGAAAGCUGAAGUAUAGGGGCUGACGCCUGCCCGGUGCUGGAAGGUUAAGGGGAAUGCUUAGCGCAAGCGAAGGUGUGAACUUAAGCCCCAGUAAACGGCGGCCGUAACUAUAACGGUCCUAAGGUAGCGAAAUUCCUUGUCGGGUAAGUUCCGACCCGCACGAAAGGCGUAAUGAUCUGGGCGCUGUCUCGACAAUGGACUCGGUGAAAUUGUAGUGCCGGUAAAGAUGCCGGCUACCCGCAGCAGGACGGAAAGACCCCAUGGAGCUUUACUGCAGCCUGAUAUUGAGCCUCGGCACUGCAUGUACAGGAUAGGUGGGAGACGAAGAGAAUAGCACGCCAGUGUUGAAGGAGUCACCGUUGGGAUACCACCCUUGUAGUGUUGGGGUUCUAACCGAGUAUCAUUAUCUGGUACCGGGACAGUGGCAGGUGGGCAGUUUGACUGGGGCGGUCGCCUCCAAAAGAGUAACGGAGGCGCCCAAAGGUUCCCUCAGAGCGGACGGAAAUCGCUCGAAGAGUGUAAAGGCAGAAGGGAGCUUGACUGCGAGACCAACAAGUCGAGCAGGGACGAAAGUCGGGCUUAGUGAUCCGGUGGUUCCGAGUGGAAGGGCCAUCGCUCAACGGAUAAAAGCUACCCUGGGGAUAACAGGCUGAUACCCCCCAAGAGUUCACAUCGACGGGGGUGUUUGGCACCUCGAUGUCGGCUCGUCUCAUCCUGGGGCUGGAGUAGGUCCCA
rnacentral:rRNA from 1 species